UACGUAGGGUGCAAGCGUUGUCCGGAUUUAUUGGGCGUAAAGAGCUCGUAGGCGGUCUGUCGCGUCGGAUGUGAAACCCAGGGCUCAACCCUGGGCCUGCAUUCGAUACGGGCAGACUAGAGUAUGGCAGGGGAGACUGGAAUUCCUGGUGUAGCGGUGAAAUGCGCAGAUAUCAGGAGGAACACCGGUGGCGAAGGCGGGUCUCUGGGCCAAAACUGACGCUGAGGAGCGAAAGCGUGGGGAGCGAACAGG
rnacentral:rRNA from 1 species